rnacentral:rRNA from 1 species
AUUUUGACCUCGGAUCAGGUAGGGAUACCCGCUGAACUUAAGCAUAUCAAUAAGCGGAGGAAAAGAAACCAACAGGGAUUGCCCUAGUAACGGCGAGUGAAGCGGCAACAGCUCAAAUUUGAAAUCUGGCUCUUUCAGAGUCCGAGUUGUAAUUUGCAGAGGGCGCUUUGGCUUUGGCAGCGGUCCAAGUUCCUUGGAACAGGACGUCACAGAGGGUGAGAAUCCCGUACGUGGUCGCUAGCUAUUGCCGUGUAAAGCCCCUUCGACGAGUCGAGUUGUUUGGGAAUGCAGCUCUAAAUGGGAGGUAAAUUUCUUCUAAAGCUAAAUAUUGGCCAGAGACCGAUAGCGCACAAGUAGAGUGAUCGAAAGAUGAAAAGCACUUUGGAAAGAGAGUCAAACAGCACGUGAAAUUGUUGAAAGGGAAGCGCUUGCAGCCAGACUUGCUUGCAGUUGCUCAUCCGGGCUUUUGCCCGGUGCACUCUUCUGCAGGCAGGCCAGCAUCAGUUUGGGCGGUGGGAUAAAGGUCUCUGUCAUGUACCUCUCUUCGGGGAGGCCUUAUAGGGGAGGCGACAUACCACCAGCCUAGACUGAGGUCCGCGCAUCUGCUAGGAUGCUGGCGUAAUGGCUGUAAGCGGCCCGUCUUGAAACACGGACCAAGGAGUCUAACAUCUAUGCGAGUGUUUGGGUGUCAAGCCCGAGCGCGUAAUGAAAGUGAACGGAGGUGGGAACCCGCAAGGGUGCACCAUCGACCGAUCCUGAAGUUUACGGAAGGAUUUGAGUAAGAGCAUGGCUGUUGGGACCCGAAAGAUGGUGAACUAUGCUUGAAUAGGGUGAAGCCAGAGGAAACUCUGGUGGAGGCUCGCAGCGGUUCUGACGUGCAAAUCGAUCGUCAAAUUUGGGCAUAGGGGCGAAAGACUAAUCGAACUAUCUAGUAGCUGGUUCCUGCCGAAGUUUCCCUCAGGAUAGCAGUAACGUAUUCAGUUUUAUGAGGUAAAGCGAAUGAUUA